UAGCAUGAAGUCAAACAAGAGAACCCGCUGAAUUUAA
rnacentral:rRNA from 1 species